GGGGGGGGCACAGUAGGGAAUCUUCGGCAAUGGACGAAAGUCUGACCGAGCAACGCCGCGUGAGUGAAGAAGGUUUUCGGAUCGUAAAACUCUGUUGUUAGAGAAGAACAAGGACGUUAGUAACUGAACGUCCCCUGACGGUAUCUAACCAGAAAGCCACGGCUAACUACGUGCCAGCAGCCGCGGUAAUACGUAGGUGGCAAGCGUUGUCCGGAUUUAUUGGGCGUAAAGCGAGCGCAGGCGGUUUCUUAAGUCUGAUGUGAAAGCCCCCGGCUCAACCGGGGAGGGUCAUUGGAAACUGGGAGACUUGAGUGCAGAAGAGGAGAGUGGAAUUCCAUGUGUAGCGGUGAAAUGCGUAGAUAUAUGGAGGAACACCAGUGGCGAAGGCGGCUCUCUGGUCUGUAACUGACGCUGAGGCUCGAAAGCGUGGGGAGCAAACAGGAUUAGAUACCCUGGUAGUCCACGCCGUAAACGAUGAGUGCUAAGUGUUGGAGGGUUUCCGCCCUUCAGUGCUGCAGCAAACGCAUAAGCACUCCGCCUGG
rnacentral:rRNA from 1 species